rnacentral:precursor_RNA from 9 species
GUACUAUUGAAGUCAAAGUCUGAGUAUAUUUCGGGAAUAUAGGCAUAAUGCCCGUUAAUACUUGAACGUAUUAUGCUGAUAUUCACGAGAUCCGCUGGACAGAAUCAACAUUCAUUGGGA